rnacentral:rRNA from 1 species
GACGAACGCUGGCGGCGUGCUUAAUGCAUGCAAGUCGAACGAAGAACCCCCUCUGGGUAACCAAAGGGGAAUUCUUAGUGGCGAACGGGUGAGUAACACGUGAGAAACCUGCCCCGGAGACCGGGAUAGCCCAGGGAAACCUGGAUUAAUACCGGAUACCCUCGAUUGGUCGCAUGUCCGAUCGAGGAAAAGGUCCGCUGCUCCGGGAUGGUCUCGCGUCCUAUCAGCUAGUUGGUGAGGUAACGGCUCACCAAGGCAACGACGGGUAGCUGGUCUGAGAGGACGAUCAGCCACACUGGGACUGAGACACGGCCCAGACUCCUACGGGAGGCAGCAGCAGGGAAUUUUGCACAAUGGGCGCAAGCCUGAUGCAGCGACGCCGCGUGGGGGAUGAAUGCCUUCGGGUUGUAAACCCCUUUCAGGAGGGACGAAGCGAAAGUGACGGUACCUCCAGAAGAAGCCCCGGCCAACUACGUGCCAGCAGCCGCGGUAAU